AGCGAGGAGCUAGAAUGACUUGUCAGCCACCUUUGAGCAAGAACUUGCCUGGAGUCCAAAUGUAUGGCUAUUGAAGGAUAGUAAGCAGACAGCACUAAAAGUCAUCCAUUCGUUAUGGAUUUAGUCUUAAGACCCUCAUUUGAGAGAUGCCUUCCCUGUACCUGGAGGAAAGAAACAUCUUUAUCUCUGAAGACACAGGGCCACAGAGAAGAGUCUGAACAAACAGGCUUUACCAAUUUCCCCCAGUUGUUACCGUUAGAUC
rnacentral:lncRNA from 1 species